CCUGCGAGACGGUGUCUCCUAGGCGUGUUGGGAAGUUGUCCUUGUGAAAUCUCAACUCUAUGAUCGUCCUUUGCUUUCUUACUGACAACUACUCUGGCUAGGGAAUUGUCUCUGGGCUUGGAAGCCCACACCUUCAAUCCCAGCACUGGGGAGGCAGAGGCAGGAAGAUCUCUGUGAGUCUGAGCCCAGCCUGGUCUACAGAGAUUCCUUCCUGUGACAGAGAUUUUCAGGAAACCUUUGUAUCCACACAGAAAAACCAGUGAGUCCAAACUGCAAGCUCAUGUGUGAUUCAAGCACACUGCCUUUUCACGGAAAUGUGUGGAGCAUGAAGAGGGCUGGCUCCCGAGCUAGGUAGGGUGGCACAUAUUCGUGAUCCAAGCACUCGGGAGGCUGAGCCAGGAAGACUGCCUCAAGCUCUGGUCUAACCUGGGAUACAUGUUUCAAAAUUACUAAAAGAAAAUUCUUCUGCCUGUAAACAAAAGUUACAUCUCCAAACAAUCUUUCACAUGUGGGCCACAAAGCUAAAAAAGUGAGCCCAAUCCCUUUCAUCUUGAGAAGAACCGUGUCCACGCUUUGGUUCACUUGAGACAAGAAAGAAUGAAAACAGCAAGGAAGACCCCAGCAUGUCGAAUUGGCAACGAGAACCAAGGUGUGUGGAGAAAUUAUUUUGCAUGGGUUCUCCCUCAGCACUCACAGAGGUUAUUUAUGUGAUAUUUGUGCUGCUGUAUUUUGUGCCAGUACUAAUCAUUGUGCAGAUGGAAAGUACAUUGGCAAGGGGAAACUGGGAUGUGAACCCAGGUUUCCCAGCCUCAAGCACGGGAUUGGUUAUGAGUUAGCACAGCCACUUACUGCUUGCGUCUCAAAGCCAGUUUUUCUCAGAAUAGCAAACCUGCUUGCUAGACGACUGCUGCCCUCGUCCAUUCCCCUUUGCUUACGUCACAGACAGGCCCAGCAUUGUCCUCCUCCAGGACUUCAGUGCCGCUUCCUACGUUCUACAGCUGCCACUCAGUUGGGAAGAAGUGGUCACUAAUCCCAGAGCCGCAACUGCCAACCUCUCCUGGCAAUCUGAGACAAUGAGACGCCAACACAGCCACCAUAAAACCGAGAAGUGAGGAGUCAUGAGUUCAUACAGUAGAAAGAUAGACCAUAGAUUUAGAGAGAAGAUGCAUAGAUAAUAGACUAAUUAUAUAUAUAUCCUCUUUGGUGGUUUGAA